rnacentral:rRNA from 1 species
UACGUAGGGUGCAAGCGUUGUCCGGAAUUAUUGGGCGUAAAGAGCUCGUAGGCGGUCUGUCGCGUCGGAUGUGAAAAUCCAGGGCUCAACCCUGGACCUGCAUUCGAUACGGGCAGACUAGAGUUCGGUAGGGGAGACUGGAAUUCCUGGUGUAGCGGUGAAAUGCGCAGAUAUCAGGAGGAACACCGGUGGCGAAGGCGGGUCUCUGGGCCGAAACUGACACUGAGGCGCGAAAGCGUGGGGAGCAAACAGG